CCUACGGGGGGCAGCAGUGAGGAAUAUUGGUCAAUGGGCGGAAGCCUGAACCAGCCAAGUCGCGUGAGGGAUUAAGGCCCUAUGGGUCGUAAACCUCUUUUGUCAGGGAGCAAUGGCGUCCACGUGUGGGCGUAUGGAGAGUACCUGAAGAAAAAGCAUCGGCUAACUCCGUGCCAGCAGCCGCGGUAAUACGGAGGAUGCGAGCGUUAUCCGGAUUUAUUGGGUUUAAGGGGUGCGUAGGCGGGACCUUAAGUCAGCGGUAAAAUUGCGGUGCUCAACGCCGUAGAGCCGUUGAAACUGAUGAUCUUGAGUGGGCGAGAGGUAUGCAGAAUGCGUGGUGUAGCGGUGAAAUGCAUAGAUAUCACGCAGAACUCCGAUUGCGAAGGCAGCAUACCGGCGCCAGACUGACGCUGAAGCACGAAAGCGUGGGUAUCGAACAGGAUUAGAUACCCGAGUAGUC
rnacentral:rRNA from 1 species